UGAAAGUUAGCUCACUAGUAGAGCGAUCGGCUUUUCCCCGAUUUGUUGUGGGUUCGAUUCCCAUACUUUCCA
rfam:Nostoc sp. NIES-3756 DNA, complete genome.